GUACUAUUUCAAUAGUGUAAGAUGUAACUCUUGGGUUAUUUGAAAUUUUUCUGAUCAUUGCACGGUCUGACCUUGGGGUGAACUCACAUGGGACUUCUAGCUCAGGGAACAACAGAUAUCAUCAACCCCUAGGUGUUAAACCACCAAUUGGCUCUAGGUUGCAUGUAAAUCUGAAGGCAUGGCAUGCAGAAGGGAUCUGGGAG